CCCUUAGAUGUCCUGGGCCGCACGCGCGCUACACUGAUGCAUGCAACGAGUUUAUAACCUUGGCCUGAAAGGUCUGGGUAAUCUUUUGAACGUGCAUCGUGAUAGGGAUAGAUUAUUGCAAUUGUUAAUCUUGAACGAGGAAUUCCUAGUAAACGCGAGUCAUCAGCUCGCAUUGAUUACGUCCCUGCCCUUUGUACACACCGACCGUCGCACCUACCGAUUGAAUGGUUCGGUGAAGAUCUCGGACUUCGAUAUUUAUUCUUUAUUGAGUUUAUAUUGUGGGAAGUUAUCUAAACCUCAUCAUUUAGAGGAAGGUGAAGUCGUAACA
rnacentral:rRNA from 1 species